CGGGGUAUGGCGCAGCUGGUAGCGCGCUUGACUGGGGGUCAAGAGGCCGCGUGUUCAAGUCACGUUACUCCGACCA
rnacentral:tRNA from 1 species